rnacentral:rRNA from 1 species
UACGGGGGGGGGCAAGCGUUGUUCGGAAUUACUGGGCGUAAAGGGCUCGUAGGCGGCCAACUAAGUCAGACGUGAAAUCCCUCGGCUUAACCGGGGGAACUGCGUCUGAUACUGGAUGGCUUGAGGUUGGGAGAGGGAUGCGGAAUUCCAGGUGUAGCGGUGAAAUGCGUAGAUAUCUGGAGGAACACCGGUGGCGAAGGCGGGUCUCUGGGCCGAUACUGACGCUGGAGGAGCGAAAGCGUGGGGAGCAAACAGG